rnacentral:misc_RNA from 1 species
UGGGUUAGAACCCCCUCGAACUUUGCAGAAACGCAGAGGUGCCCUUCGGGGAGCGAGGUGUCCAGGUGCUGCAUGGCUGUCGUCAGCUCGUGUCGUGAGAUGUUGGGUUAAGUCCCGCAACGAGCGCAACCCUUGCCUCUAAUUGCCAGCGGGUUAUGCCGGGCACUCUAGAGGGACUGCCGGUGUUAAGCCGGAGGAAGGUGGGGAUGACGUCAGUGCUUGCCU